AUUUGUUUAACUAUGGCAAUAGGAAGCUCGACACCACCCCAAUUGCAUAGAAUUAUUAUUUGUUAUUGGGGUGUUUUGUUAUAUUCUCCGGUUUAUUAGCAGUUGAUUUUUUAAUAGGAUAUUGAGUUCUUUAAGGGGGUGGUGUUUUUAAGGGGAUCGGUCACAGUGCCAGCAUCUGCGGUUA
rnacentral:rRNA from 1 species